rnacentral:rRNA from 1 species
UACGGGGGGGACGAGCGUUGUUCGGAUUUACUGGGCGUAAAGGGCGCGUAGGCGGACCUUCAAGUCGGGUGUGAAAUCUGUUGGCUUAACUGACAGCCUGCAUUCGAUACUGUCGGCCUUGAGUACAGGAGAGGAGAGCGGAAUUCCAGGUGUAGCGGUGAAAUGCGUAGAUAUCUGGAAGAACACCGGUAGCGAAGGCGGCUCUCUGGACUGAUACUGACGCUAAAGCGCGAAGGCUUGGGUAGCAAACAGGAUUAGAUACCCGCGUA